UGUUAGUGUAGUUAAUGAUGAAUGAACAACAGAGAAAGAGAACAAAUAGUCUUUACACUAUCUAAAAUAUAUAAGAAAUGGCUAAUAUAACGUAUGUCAGUGUAUGUAGUGAUGAAUGAA